AAAUUUUACUAAGUGAAACAGAAACAAUAAUUGUGUUCAACAUACCCAAUUUAUUAAAUGACGUAGAAAAAGAAAAAGAAAUUAUUGAAAAAGCAAACGAACGAUAUGAAAAGUUGUUAAAAAAAUGAUGAAAGUAAUUAUGUUAAUAAGUCAAUGCAAACUUUAAAUAUUUUUAAAAAAAAUAAAGAUGUAUAUGUGUCUACUAUUAACAAACAAGAUAAAAGUUCUCAAACGAAUUUAUAUAAAUUGCAUAAAUUAAUUCUAAGGAACGCUUUAAACAAAUCCGAAGUGUUACACAAGGAGUUUUUAAAAUAUAGAAAUAAAAAAUUUAAAAGCAUUAUAGAAGAAUAUAAAGAAUCUUUAGAUGUUAAAGAACACAUGGUUUUAAAAAAGAAUAUGUGGGUUCAAGUCACUGAUAAAAGUAGUGCUGAAAAACAAUCAUCUGUUAUAAAUAAAUCUUAUUUUAAAUCUAAAAAAACAAACAGUAUAUAUAGUAAUUGGUUAUCAUCUAGAAACAUAUCUAGAACUUUAUCAAAUAAAAGUAGAACAUUUAGAAGUCGAAGUAAAAUGAAAAGUACAAAAUCGUUGAAAUUUUUAACAAACAGUCUGAGUGAUGACGAGUACUUAGUACGAUCUAUAAUUAAAAAGAAGAGAAAACAAACUGAUGAGAAUGAAUUGUUACAAAAUGUUGUAGAAGAGGAAAAUGAAGAAGAAAAUGUAUUACCAUGGAAAAUAAAUAAUAAAAAAAAAAAUAUUAAUACAUUAACAUUUAUAUUACUAUUAAGAGAUAUUGAAAAGUAUAUAGCACAAAACAUUUAUUAUUAUGAACAAUUAAUUUAUAAAAAUAUUUAUUUAAAUUAUAUUAAAGAAAAAAAGAUCGAUAUGUGUAACAAAAUAAAAAUAUUCGAUGGUGAAAAUUAUGAUCCUCUUACUAAUAAUAGUAUUAGUUAUAAAAAAAAAAAAUUAUUAUAAAAAUAAAAAUUCAAAAGAAUUUUAAAAAAUUAAUAAA
rnacentral:lncRNA from 1 species